UACGUAGGGUGCAAGCGUUGUCCGGAAUUAUUGGGCGUGAAGAGCUCGUAGGCGGUUUGUUGCGUCGGCUGUGAAAACCUGAGGCUCAACCUCAGGCCUGCAGUCGAUACGAGCAGACUAGAGUGUUGCAGGGGAGACUGGAAUUCCUGGUGUAGCGGUGAAAUGCGCAGAUAUCAGGAGGAACACCGGUGGCGAAGGCGGGUCUCUGGGCAACAACUGACGCUGAGGAGCGAAAGCGUGGGGAGCGAACAGG
rnacentral:rRNA from 1 species